GACAGAGGGUGCAAACGUUGUUCGGAAUUACUGGGCGUAAAGCGCGUGUAGGCGGCUAUGUAAGUCGGGCGUGAAAUCCCACGGCUCAACCGUGGAAGUGCACCCGAAACUGCGUAGCUAGAGUCCUGGAGAGGAAGGUGGAAUGCUUGGUGUAGAGGUGAAAUUCGUAGAUAUCAAGCGGAACACCGGUGGCGGAGGCGGCCUUCUGGACAGUGACUGACGCUGAGACGCGAAAGCGUGGGGAGCAAACAGG
rnacentral:rRNA from 1 species